GAUAGAGGGUGAAAUCUUGGCCUCAAUGAAGUCAAUGGGAGUUUUGCCAUUAUUUAGCAGGACCAGGAUUUCAUUAACUUGAACAUUUGAAAAAGGUCUUUAUGGUUUAUUCCUCCUCUUUUAAUUAUUUAUUAUUUGUAUUGUGGGAGUGGCCAAAGGCCCCUAUUGAGACCACUGAGCUCUGCACUAGAUGUACAGGUAGACACUGUCCCUGUCCCAAACAGCUUCCAGUCAGGCACUUAAAAUAUUGUCCUCACACAUUGUGCUUAGUCAGUAAGGUCUGAAACUGCUGAGCCAAAUCCUGUCCUCCGGUAAACUUCUGGAACCCUGUUUCCACACUGGCCCAUCUUUGGCGGGGAUAUCAGGUUGGAGCAGGGAAGUGAUAUUACCUCUGUAUACAAUAUGGAUGAGAUCACAAGUGGAAUACUGUGUCCUGUUCUGAUAUUCAUACUUUUAAAAAGUAUGUUGGAAAUUAGAGAGCGUUCAGCAAAGAACCACAGGAAUGAUUCAGGUCUAGAAAACUUGCUUUACAAUGUCAGACUAAGAAUUUCAAUCUAUAUAUUUUAUAGAGAAGAUUGAGAUGACUUGACCACUGUGUGUUAGUUUAAGAAGAAGAUAUCUGAAGCUGGGGGUGUUUAAUCUAGCAGAACUUGAUCUAGUGGCUGGAAGUUGAUGCUGGACAGGUUUCAACUGCAAAUAAAGGGACUAUUUUGACAGUGACAAUAAUUAACUACUCAAACAAUUUAGAAGAGGUGUGGUAGACUCUCCAUUAUUUAAGGUCUUUAAAUCAAGACUGGAUGUUAUUCUAAAAGAUGCCUCCAUUCAGUCACAGACUAUUAAGAUUGAUGCAGAAAUUUCUUGGCAGUAUUCUACAGCCUCUGCAGUUGCAGAAGGUUAGAAUAGAUAAUCAUAUUGUCCUUUCUGGUCUUUAGAUCUAUCAAACUGUGGAAGGUGUAACUAAAAGCAGAAUUUUUCCAAUUUCUUUAUUACGUGUGAUGAUGCCUGAGACGGCAAAAUCCCAGCUUCAGUUACUGAAGCUGUGUUCGGGAGUCAGGCAUUUAGAAAAAACACUUUGUUGCUUGUAGAAGAUCUGGAGUCCAUAAAAAUAAACAUACCCCACAAUGCCAUUUUUACAGAGUACUGCACUGUAAAGUUGCAAGCAAGUUUUGCAAGAUUAAAUUUGAAAGAAAAUCAUAUUUUCUGUCUGUUUCCCCUCAAGUUCUCAGUUAGUUACUUUCAUCAUUGUGUUGUGUUCUGGCUUAAUCUAUUCUACUAUUUUGUCCAGACUGUCUAACUUGUCAGAGUGAGUCUGGAUAGCAUUAGUCAUGCCCAACUGUAGGUGAUCCAGGGGCUGUUUCACCAUUUCAUUAGUCCAGUGUGGAGUUACACAGGCAUAAAACUGCAGUAAUGUAGGGCUAAAUCAAGUCCUCAGUGUUUAGCCUAAGUAAGGGGGCAUGGAUCAGCUUCAUCUCAUGCUCCCCAUUAGUGCCCAGGCUGGGGAAGCUAAUGAUCUAACCGGCGGACCAAAUUCAGUGAUGAAUCCUGGUCACAUGCCACCUGAAGUAUGUUGUGCACACGCCAAGAAGAUGACCCUAAGUUCUUCUGCUCUGGGUCUGUAACGCAUAUCCUACAGGUUGAGAUGAACCAGAGCUGGGCCUGCAAUGGCAGCAGGAUUGGCAACAUACUGCUUGGAGGGAAGAUAGUAUGUGUGUGGCCCAAAACAACAUCCCAAUAAUAGUUGUUGCCAUUGACUCCAGAGGGGCCAGUAUUUGAUCCAUG